AGUGAACGCUGGCGGCAGGCCUAACACAUGCAAGUCGAACGGCAGCACAAGAGAGCUUGCUCUCUGGGUGGCGAGUGGCGGACGGGUGAGGAAUGCAUCGGAAUCUGCCCAUUUGUGGGGGAUAACCUCGGGAAACCGGGACUAAUACCGCAUACGACCUCCGGGUGAAAGCAGGGGAUCUUCGGACCUUGCGCAGAUGGAUGAGCCGAUGCCGGAUUAGCUAGUUGGAGGGGUAAAGGCCCACCAAGGCGACGAUCCGUAGCUGGUCUGAGAGGAUGAUCAGCCACACUGGAACUGAGACACGGCCCAGACUCCUACGGGAGGCAGCAGUGGGGAAUAUUGGACAAUGGGCGCAAGCCUGAUCCAGCCAUGCCGCGUGUGUGAAGAAGGCCUUCGGGUUGUAAAGCACUUUUGUUGGGAAAGAAAAGCAGCCGGUUAAUACCCGGUUGUCAUGACGGUACCCAAAGAAUAAGCACCGGCUAACUUCGUG
rnacentral:rRNA from 1 species